AAAUGCCAAAAAGUACAGGCAUUUCUAUCAGCAUAUUUAUGAAUAUGUCUACAUACAUUAAGAAAAAUAUUUCUCAUAAAGAGAAAGUGACUCUUCAUUAGAUAAACGUUUAGUAGUACACAAUACAUUCUGGGCACUGUGCUAAAUGCUGGGAACACAAAUUUAAAUGAGACAUUAUUUUAGUGUGAUCCCCUUACACAAGAUUAUGUAUGUAAAGCAAGGGCCAGGGGCACAUAGCAGCUGCUCCAUAAACUGUUACCAUUAUUAUGAUCAAUCACAAAUGAUAGUCUUUUAAAAAUUCUUAUAGAUUUUUUAAAUGAAAAUACUGCAGUAACGCCAUGAAUACUCACCAAUACUAUAAUAUCUCUUUAGUUCUGUACGCCUGAUCUCCUUUAACUGAUUACUUUUUCUCUUUUUUUUCUCAUCAGUCAUAUAUUCCUCUUCCACAGCAAUGUUGCACUUGUCUGGCUCUAAAACUACUGUAUUAUUAUCUUCCUUCCCAGUAUGAGUCCUUGUAGCUACAGCUGAGGCUGUCUCUGCAUUUUGUUUGGCUUGUUUUUUCUUUUUCAGUAGUAAGUUCUGUUGCUAGUUCCACAUGGUAAUUCCACAGUUAAGUCAGAAGGCAUUUGAAAAGAUGUAUAACUUUGGAUGGCUCUUUUCUGAUUAUAGGCUGAAGGGGGUUCUUUUCUCUUUGGUUUGCCUUUUGCUUUUAAUAGCUUGACCAUUUCUGGCUUCCACUGCAUUGUAAGAGCUAAACUACAGGUUUGUCAGUCAGUGUUUCUCUCUCUGUCUCUUUCUCUCUCUCCCUGCUCCUACCCCCUCUUCUCUCCAUUCUCCUCUCUCCAUCUCUCUCAUUUCCUAGUUACAAAUCAUGUUGUCUUACUGUCUUAAGAGCAUCACUGAUUUCAUCCUUGUGCCACUGUCCCUAUGCUCCCAAGAUCACAUUUCAGCAUUUUAGGAUACGUUUUUUGUUUCAUUUUUAGAAUACUUUUCAGAAGAGGUCAUGAUAAGCAAGACAAUUUUACAUUUCUGAGUUGAAAAAACUGUGCUGCUCUUCCAGAACAGUUUUGGUUUGUAUUCUCAGUUUCAGGGGCUCCCCUGACUCUACAUUUUAGGAACAAGAAGAGGUUAACAUUGAGCAGGUUGUUCAUGAACCGGCAGUUACCUUUACUACAGGAAUCACUUUGGAUUCAGGCUGAGAAGGCACUAUAGCUCUUAAAAUCACUAUGUAGGGCAAGUGAAGAAGAAAGAAAAGAAAGAAGAAGAAAGUAAGGAGGAGGAGGAAGGAGGAGGUGGGAGAAAGAAGGAAGGGGGAGAAGCGGGAAGGGGGAGGAGGAAGAAGAGGAGGAAGAGGAGCAGGAAGAGGAGCAGGAAGAAAGGGAGGAGGUGAGGAAGGGAGACGGGGAGGAAGGGGAGGAGAAGCAUGACCACCAUUUUGACCUAAACUCAUAUCUUAUCCACAAAUAAAUUCAAAAUGGAUCACAGACUUAAAUAUAAAACAUAAUGCUAUAAAAUUUUCAGAAAAGAAAAACAGGAGAGAAUCUUCAGAACAUACAGCUAGGCAAAGAGAUCUUAGAAUUCAGACCAAAAGCACAAUUCAUAAAAGGAGAAACUGAUAAAUUGAACCACAUCAAAAUUAAAACCUUUUGCUCUGCAACUCUGUUAACUGGAUGAAAAGACAAACUACAGUCCGGGAGAAAAUAUUUGCAAAUCACAUAUCCAACAAAAGACUAGAAUGUGUACAAUUCAACAGUAAAAACCUAAACAAUUCAAUUAGAAAAUGGGCAAAAGAUAGGAAAGGAGAUGCCACUAAAGAAGAUACACUAUGGCUAAUAAUAAGCACAUGAAAAUGUUAAACUUCACUAACCAUUAAGGAAAUACAAAUUAAAACCAUAAUGAGAUAUCACUACAUACUUAUCAGAAUAGCUAAGAUAAAAAUAAAAAAUAUUGACACCACCAAAUGACAAUGCAGACAAACUGGAUUACUCAGACUUUGCUGAUGGGAAUGUCAAAUGUUACAACCAUUCCAGAAAAGAGUAUUGCACUUUUUUAUAAAACUAAAAAUACACUUAUCUUUUGACCCAGCAAUUGCACUCUCAGACAAUUAUCUCAGGGAAAUGAAAACUCAUGCUCAUACAAAAACUUGUACAUAAAUGAUUGUAGCAUCUAGCAUCUUUGUUCAUAAAUAGCCCAAACUGGAAACAACCUAAAUGCCCUUCAAUGGGUAAAUGACUAAAAAGCUGUGAUUCAUCCAUACUAUGGAAUGCUACUGUGCAAUAAAAAGGAACAAACUAUCGAUACAUGCAACAGCUUUGAGGGAUGUCAAGGGAGUAAUGCUGAAGGGAAGAAAAAGCUAAAUGCCAAAGGUUACAUACUAUAUGAUUCCAUUCACCUAGUAUUCUUGAAAUGACAAAUUAUAGUGGUUGUCAGAGGAGGCAGGCAGAUGGAAGGAGUGAGUAGGGAUACAAAAAGGUAGCAUGUGGGAUCCUUUUAAUGCAACUGUUCUGUAUCUUGACUGAUGGUGACCACAGAAAUCUACAUGUGAUAUAACUGCAUGGAACUAAAUACACACAAACACACAUACAAUGAAUGCUCUGAAUAAGGCUGGUGGAUUGUAUCAAUAUGAAUUUCCUAGUUGUGAUACUGUACUAUGGAUAAAGAAUACAGGGUAUCUAUUACUCCUUACAACUAACUACAUGUGAAUCUAAAAUUAUCUCAAAAUAAAAACUUUGGAGAUCUUAUUUAUUCUAAAUAUCCUAUCUUUCUGGUGCCUCAUCCAUUAGAUGCCUGAUGUCUUCCUUCCCUAAUCUGGUUACUCUCUGUAGUCAUAAUAGCAGAAAAUAUUUUACUACAAUUGGUAGUUUAACUUGUGCUUCCCCAAAACCUUAUUCAUGAUUUACUAUUCCUAACUGGAGCAUGCCUUUUGGAGAUGGCCUUAUGUUUAAUACUGACUCUUAUGCUGCAUGAAAUGGACAAAAUAUUUUCUGAGUCUUAGUUGCAUCACUGGUAAAAUGGAGAUAAAUUAACCGAUGUCAUAGAUUUAUUUUGAAGGCAAUUAAAAUAAUAAGUAAAACACUCAGUACAUAGUAGGUCCUUAAAUUGUUUCUGUCCUUUUCCCAUUAUCAACCUAAAAUCUAGCUUAAUUACUAGAUAAAAACAUCAACAACAAACUUUGGUUUUGGCUCCAAGGCUCAUGUUUAGAAAAUAAUAAAUGCAUCUCUAAUGAGCACAGCCUGGGGACUGGGGAUGGAAUGAGGCUAAAUUCAGUUCUUAACAUGUAUUUCAAUUUAGGAGAAACAUAAUGUUUUUAAGCCUAUGUUCUCUGAGUCUGAAAACAUUCUGGCUUAUCAAAAUGUUUUACAAAUGUUUAGCAUAUAAUUCAUUUUAUUAUGUUUAGUGAGUGCCACAUAGACAUUUAAAUCUGUAAAUGGUAACCAAUCAUAUACUACAUUACUUCUAUUCAGAUAUCAACAAAUUUAUUUAUGUUGGACAAGUUCCAGCCUUAAAAAUGACUCUGAUUCAAAAAUAUAAUUUCACCCAUUUCACCUACCUACAAAAAUAUUUCUUAGUAAUAGACUCCCCACAAGGUGAUAAGCUUUAAAUGUGUCAGAGAUUUUCAGUUAUAGUCCAACCUAUUAAGCUACAGAACAGUAGGAACAAAGCACUUAGGAUUUAAAAUUCAAGGUAGGUUGCUAAACAUGGGAUUUGGAGCAAUUUGCAGGUCAGAGCAUGACAGCUGGAUUCGCUGAGCAACACUGGCCUGAGAGAAGUGUCAAAGCUAGAAAGAGAAGAACCAAAUGUUACACUCCUCUAAUAUGAAUAAAAUGGAUGAAGCAAAGUAUAGUUUACUUCUCCUGGUUACCUGCUCUAUUUAUGAACAAGCACAAAACACAAAAUGCGAAGUAAUACUUGAGGACAAAGUCCCCUCAAAUAUUUCUUUAAAGUACUGAUAACAAUUUUGUAAAAUGAAUGCUUACCCUUGGGUUCCAGGAUGAAGACAUGUGGAACAGAACCCGAACUUGAACCUCAGCUUUGGCAUCCGGCUUAACCUUUGCCAAGGCCAGCCUGCAGAACCCAGCCAGGAGUAGCUAAACCACAGUCAACCUGCAAAUCCAUGAAGGAUAUACUCAGAGAAGAAUCACGAGUGCCAAGAGAGACCAUGAGGCAAACUGCUCUCCAUUGAAGGUAUACCAGCCUACCCUUCGUGAGCUAAACACAACCUCACUCUUGCCAGCAUUGUAACUGACUUUUUAAAUCUAGUAAUCUGCACUUCUUUGAUGCCAUGAAGUCAGUAUUAUUUUCAUGUCUUGGCCAUCUUAAGUUCCUGUUUUGUGAAUAUUCUAUUCCUAUUCCUUGUUAUAAAGGUUUUCAGAGUUAAGACAUGUUAAAUAGAAAUUAUUUUGGAAGGUUCUGUGAUUCAAAAUAUCAAA
rnacentral:lncRNA from 1 species